UUGACACCGAACAUCCUAGCUGCCUUACAGAAUCCUAUGCCGCCGUAACGGACUGCGUCUAACGCUCUGAUAAAGUUCUCGUCCGCCUGCGGAUUCGUCGAUCGUUUCCUUUUAAUUGCGGUCUGCGGACUGGCACACGGGCUCUGGCAGUUACUUGGGCACUGAACGGACGGCGACGGGCCGCUCGACGUCGCGUGCUGCAACGUCCCGUGCGACGGGUUCGGAUAAUUCGUCAGGGCGCAACUGGAACCAGUCGUGCUGGUACCAGAGUACUGAUCGCUGAUGGUCGAGGAAGCUGUUAUUUCGGGCGUGGUAAAAGCUGAUGAUGCUUGGAUCGACAGAUUCGUUUGACACGAGGACAGAGCGAAACGUGGAUAUGUGUGCUCCAUUAUAGUCCAUUGCAAUCCUGCGGAACAGACCGGUUCAUCUUUGGUCAGAGCACAGGAAUUAAUUCGACUGGCUAAUAUUAUGCGUUGCUGAAUAUAUAUUUUGUGUAGCAGAGAUGUUCGAAAUAAUAGCUAAAAUUGAUAAAUCAAAAGUGAAUUUACAAGAAUCUAUUGAAAUUAAAUUAGCUAAACAAUUGUCUAGUUCGAAUGAGAAGUAAUGCUUUAUGCUACUAUAUGAACGUGUGGAAAAAGAAGAAACAAUGCUAAGCUGUAAGCAGAAAAGAAUGGAAAGAUAUAUGUAAAAGUCUGUGAAUGUAAUGGUAAAUAUAUGAAUAUAUCGAGGAUAGAA